UUGAGGAGUCACUUGAGUUUACCCUGUUUCAGGCCAUAUGCUUUGGGAUGGUUCAUACUUGGAUCAGGGCGCUAAGCCAAUCAGACAACUGCAUUUCUCUUUCUUCAGUAAUUGAUUAGGAAACAGAGUGACAAUUCAAGCGCAGCCAAUGCUUCUCAAAGAGGCUUUACCUGAUUUUUUAAAACCUAAGGCUCAAAGUACAACUUGCCCCAAAUUGGAUGGUCAAUAAGUGGUAACAUCAGGAUUACAAGGUAAGCAGCCCGCCUUUACAGCAGAAACCUAAAGAAAGCUUUGCAACUCUAAAUAUGUUCUGUGGACUAGCAGCCCUAGGGUCACCCAGGAACUUGUUGAAAUUGCAGUCUCAACCUCCACCCUAGACUUGCCAAAUCAGAAUUUGUAUUUUAACAAGAGCCCUAUUGAUCCAAAUGCACCUUAAAGUUUGAGAAACAUUGCUAACCAAGCACUACCUUUGAAAUGCAGUGAAACUACAUUUUCAGCUGCUGUGAAGC
rnacentral:lncRNA from 1 species